UACGUAGGGGGCUAGCGUUGUCCGGAAUCAUUGGACGUAAAGCGCGUGUAGGCGGUCCGGUAAGUCCGCUGUGAAAGUCGGGGGCUCAACCCUCGAAAGCCGGUGGAUACUGUCGGGCUAGAGUGCGGAAGAGGCGAGUGGAAUUCCUGGUGUAGCGGUGAAAUGCGCAGAUAUCAGGAGGAGCACCGGUGGCGAAGGCGGUUCUCUGGGCAUUACCUGACGCUGAGGCGCGAAAGCCAGGGGAGCGAACGGG
rnacentral:rRNA from 1 species